CCCAGCCCCUCAGUGAUUUCAGCUCGAGACCCACAAGCUUUAUUGCACUGCCAGCUCUGCUCUCUCAGCAGUAGCUCUGCAUCUUGCCAGCGCCGCCACGGGAAGCUGCUCCAGGUUCUCACUGCAGGAUCUUCAGCUUGGCUCCAGCUCUGCGACUUUCCAGCUCCAACUUCACAUUCCCAAUCCCAGUCCCCCAGUCCUACCGUCUUUAUGUCUCCACCAGCUCUGCUGCCUGAGCUCCACGUUCUCAGCUUUCUGCUGCCUCUGCCUCAGCUUUCUGCUGCCUCUGCCUAAAUCUGCUCCUGGGUAUCUCUGCAGGCCCGGGCUGUUGACAAGGUCACAAAUCAGUCUUUGUCGUUCACUUAAAUAUCUCUAGGAGCUGUCCCACCCAUCCCAACGGGAACAGCAACAAAACAAUAGAAUAAACAAUCAAGUAGUCAAAGAUGAAAAUAAAAGUAAAAUAAAAUUAUAAUAGAAUGAAA